CCCUUAGAUGUUCUGGGCCGCACGCGCGCUACAAUGAUGAAUUCAACGAGUUUAUAACCUUGGUUGAAAAGCCUGGGUAAUCUUUUGAACUUUCGUCGUGAUGGGGCUAGACCCUUGCAAUUAUUGGUCUCCAACGAGGAAUUCCUAGUAAACGCAAGUCAUCAGCUUGCAUUGAUUACGUCCCUGCCCUUUGUACACACCGCCCGUCGCACCUACCGACUGAAUGGUCCGGUGAAAUCUUCGGAUUGAGACUUUGAUUUCUUCACGGAAAACGCUGUUUUAAGAAGUUGAUUAAACCUUACCAUUUAGAGGAAGGUGAAGUCGUAACA
rnacentral:rRNA from 1 species